rnacentral:lncRNA from 1 species
UCAAAGGCAUAUUCAAUCACUUUCACCAGGCUAUAUUUAGAAGUAAGAAUGUCCCAGUAUAUUGUAUGUCAUUGUAGGUAUAUUUUAGAGAGAAUUUUGAUCAUAGCUACAAAUCAAAUGCAUUUCUUGUAAACUUGUAAUGAGAAAAUUCCAUCUACCAGAUUAGAUUCUGAUGAGCAAUGUUUCAUUGCACUUUCACUAAUAAUCUGUGUGCACUUAGGCAAGUCACUUCACGUCUCUAAUCCACAAUAUUUCGGACAAAUGAAAGGUAAACGAGGAGACAAUGUCUAAGAUGCUUUUUUUUUAAACUCUAAAAUCUAUUCUAUCUCUAUAAAUUCCAAUUCUAUUCUAUCUGUAGAAUUUAAAUUCAAGGCCUCUACUUCCUCUUUCUCCUAUUUGAAAGAUCCUUCCAGUUAUUUUUAUUCUGAUUCUUACUCCCAAACUCUCUCUGCCCCCUAUGGUUUCUCCAUUACCAGCAGAUACUAUUACAUGCUUUCAUGGACAGUGAUUGGUGAAGGAAAUAUUGAUUGCACUUCUCUUUUGCUGCUUUCAGAGACAUAUCUUGGAUGGUUUUAUCACCCUCAUGAACCUUGUCUAGAGAAUGGGUGUAGAGGUUUGAAGAUAGAGGUGCAGAUAAGUAAAACCUGAGUUGGUUUCCUAACACAAGGCUUACAUUUUCCAUCAAUUCAGUCAGUUAAAUACCUAGCAAAUAUAUGAUAGACUAGACAUAGUCCUUGGCCUUAAGAAAUGUAUACACUCUACAAAAAAAGUUGGUGCUGAUUUGGAGUUCCCAUUGUGGAUCAGCAGGUUAAGGACUCGACAUAGUCUCCUUCAGGAUAUGGGUUUGAUCCCUGGCCUUGCUCAGUGGAUUAAGGAGCUGACAUUGCUGCAAGCUGUGGUAUAGGUCACAGAGGUGGCUUGAAUCCAGUAUUGCUGUGGCUAUGGCAUAGGUCGGCAGCUGCAGCUUCGAUUUAACCCCAUAGCCUGGGAACUUCCAUGUGCCACAGGUGUGGUGGCCAUAUAAAGAAAAAAAAAGGUUGAAGUACAUGGAAGGAAGAUUUGGGUUUGGCUUAGUCAGCAGAAUCUAAUGGAGGAAAUUUGACUUACAGAGUGUAUUUAAGGAAGAAUAAUAUGUGUGAUUCUUUGAUGCAUAACUCAUUCAACAAAACACUUACUUAGUGGCUAUGAUGCAUCUUCUCUAAAUGCUGGGAAUACAGCAGUGGGCAAAAUGGGAAAAAACUUUGUCCAUACAGAGCUUUCCUUCUGAUAGAGGUGUGUAAGAGAAAAUAAGUUAAAAAAAUAUAUAUAUUACAUCAAAUGAUGAUAAGAACUAUAGAAUUAAAAGGAUACUUUGGUUAGUAAAGUAGGCAUUGAGAAUGAUCUAAGAAGUGAUAUAAUCAGACCAUUCCAGGCUAACAUUUGUCCUGUAUGUUUAGAGGGGUUAAGUAACAUAACUAAGGUCACCCAGCUUAUUAGCAAGAAAGGAAUAAAACCCAGGCUUAUCAGCUCCUACUCUAGUGUUCUUUUUACUCUUUACAAUCAUGCACACACCUUCUAGAUGGUCAAAUCAUACAGUUCAAGAGGUGGGAGUAAAGAGCUUGUGUGGAACCCAAGGAGGCAGAUACUUUGUGUUGGGGGAAAGUGGAAGAUAUGAUUAAAUGGGAAGGAAAUGCCAAAUCUGGAAAGGCAGACAGUGAAGUUCAGCUUUGAUAUGGUGAUAAGAAAUGAAUAAAAUGAUCUUUAGAAAAGUUUGACAACAUUUAGUUGAUUAUUAAUUCGCCAGAUUAAAAAAUGCUCCUCUGGUGUGACUGCCCUCUUCUCCCUUUCCUUCUCUCCAUCAUAGUUCCCUGAAAAAUAAUUCCUUUGUCUAAUGCUAUUUACCAUCAGGUGGAGCAGUUAUAUGUUUUAAGAAUAUCAAAGACACUGGCUAUGGUUUAUUUCAAAACUAGAAAGAAGGCAUUUUGGGUAAACACAAAUAUUUUACUGCAGCUCCACAUUUAGGGAUUAAACUGCUGGUGAAAUGAAUAUAGAAUGAGAACUAAAUCUAGACAUUAGAUUUGGAUAAAGUGAGCAAGUUGAAUCAGAUGUAAAUUAAGAGAUGUGGCUACUCAUACUUGCAUCAUAAAUUGGGAGCUAAGUACUAAAUUUCCUUCAGAAGCUAAUACAUAAAUUAUAAACCAGAUCAUACAUUUCCUUAAGUGCAGCAGUCAUUGUUGCUGAUUCAUUUUCAAAUUUCCAAUAAUUAAGAGAGAAAGAGAGAGUAUGAGUGAGAGAAACCACCAACAAAAUGUACAAAUGAGGGUUUAUUUGCAUAUAUGAAGACUCUGUAACAGCAAUGUGAGUGCAGAAAUAGCUUUAGUUUUCACUUUUCUUUGAGAAAGAACAGGAGCUUCAAGUAGGAAGAAAAUACAUGCGUUAAAAUACUUAUCACAGGUUCAACAAUCAGAAAAUUAUCAAAUAGGGCAAAUAAACCUUAUGGUUGUAGCUGCUGAUAACAUGUUAGAUAUGGUGCUUACUUUGGCCUAAAUCUAGUGCAGGUCUUAUUUUGGAUGUGAUGGGUAUUUUGGAAAGGCUCCAAGGUCUUUUGUAUAAGGUUAUAGACAGGGAAUUUUGAGCCUUUAUUAUAUGGGGGUCAUAGUACAUUCAAGGAUCUAACUAUGCAUUUUGGGGGCCAAGCAAUUUUUAGAAAAUGUUCUAAGCCCGUGGAUCUGUAAGUCCAAAAAGAUAUUCAGUCCAGUACAUAGGCUACUUAGGUUUUCCUGCUCUAUGAUUAGGGUAGGGGUGGGAGUAUUAGCUCUAAUACUUGUAGGUCAUCGACUAUUGAAGUUUUUCCACCGAAAGACCAGAAUUACUGGCAUAGUUAAUGUGAAGCAACUGUUACCCAAGAGGGUCCCUCCUACACAUUCACUUUAUUUCAGGCUUCUGGCUGUCUUGGGGUUAAUGAUUCAUAAAACAAAAAGACUGUCAGCAGUAGGAAAAAUAUGUCACUGAAAUUAAGCACAGUAUUGGAGGUCAAAGGAGGAGUUACCCUCAGGCCUUCAUGCAAAGCAAUGUAUAGACACUCAGUCAUAAGUAUAGAAAGGUUCAGGCACAAGAUAGAUGGUCAUUACCUAUUUUACUUCCUUUCAGUAUUCAUGCCAAAUGUUUAUAUCUGAGAUAAUCGAAUGUAUAUGGGAGGAAAAGUUUAAAUAGCUUGAAAACUCUUUUAGGUAACUAUAUGAUGCUACAUAGCUCUCCUGCUGGCUCACAAUAAUGGUUCUGAGUGGUCCAGAAAUUAUUUCAGGAGUUCCUGUCAUGGCUCGGCAGUUAAUGAACCUGACUAGCAUCCAUGAGGACACGGGUUCGAUCCCUGGCCUCUCUCAGUGAGUUAAGGAUCUGGCAUUGCCGUGAGCCAUGGUGUAGGUUGCAGACGUGGCUUGGAUCCC